GUAGGGGCGGACCUAGUCACAAGGAAGGCAGGUGAUGUGACCUGGGUAAAUUUUUUAUUUUCCCUUUUCACUAAAAUUUUUUUUUCCCUUGUAUUUGAUCUAGGUGGAAUAACAUCUUGGGUUCGCAUGAGAUUUAUAAUAGAACCUUCUCUGAAGAAUCACCAUGACUAACUACAUCAGAUGGAUCUAUAUUAUGACUGGGUUUAGCUCUUUUCCUAGUACGCAACUUUUCAAUGGGAGGUGUUUCAACAUAGGCGUCAUCAUCCAUGAUUUGGUUCAUGUCCUCGGUUGCUUGAAGAUCAUCUUCUUUUUCACAUUUCAGAAUCACCACCAAGUCCAAACGUGUUGUUUCCAGUUGCUAUAGAAGUUUCAAAAAUUAAUUGUAAAUCUUCGUAAUCUUUGAAAGUGCUGGUCCUCAUGUGUUCAUGAUUUGGAUGACCCUGAGAAAACAAAAUUCAUUUAUUAGUUAUCAAUACUAGUAAAAAAAAAAAGAAAAUAGAUGUUGAUCUUAACACAAGAAUAUUUCCGUCAAUACAGGCUCUCCACACAUCAUCUGGAGCUGUAAAUUGUUUUGCGAUGGGAUCCAAUCCAAAACCAAAAGCUCGGUAUACACAUUAUACUUGUAACGCCCGUGUCUGGAAAUCCGGGUGGUGUCGAUCGACACUGUGGUCGGGUGUCGAUCGACACUAGUGAUUUUGGUUUGACGGUUUAAGUUUUAAAUCGUCGGUUCAAUUGAGGUUUUGGUUAGGGUUUAACCCUAGGUCACGUUUAAAAGAAAAAAGGUCAUGUUUUGUUGGGAGGUGGCCGCUUUUAUUCUUUUAAAAGGUUUCUAAGUUCUCUAGAGAGGUUUUGUGAGGUUUGAGAAGUGUUUUGAGGCUUUUUCUUGGUGUUUCUGUCCUUGGGAAGAGAGAUCUCGUAGCUGUGGUGUUAGGAGAGUCCUUGGUUGCUGUUGUUGUGAUCUGUUCGUCCUUGUUUCUGUCUUUUUGAAAGGUGAGUGCAUGACUAGGCUGAUCUAAGCAGUUUUGAUGCAUAUUUUGAGUGUUUCUUCUGAUUGAUAUUUGAUUUCUGUGUUUGUAUGCUUGUCUAUGUGAUAUGGUGUCUUGGUACGAGUCUGGGAAGGAGAUAGAUCAGGCCUGGAGUCCUGGAGUUGGUGGAUUCGUCGAUGAGAAGCGGCUGGAGCGAUGUUAGGGUUUCGGUGUCGCUCGACACCAAGGGAGGGUGUCGAUCGACACCAACUUUCUUUCUCGCGAGGAUGGUCGCGAGUGUCGAGCGACACCAGCGGAUGGUGUCGAUCGACACUGCUCGUCAGAACGGGUCAUGUUAUGUUGUUUUGCGUUGUAUUGGUGGUGGUUUGAGUUAUACUUGAAUGUGUUCAUUUCUGCUUGUGUGUAUAGCCAGUGGUGGGAUGAUUGCCUCACUAAGUAUUUAUGAAAUACUUAUGCAUCUCUUUCUUUGAUGCAGGUAAAAGCAAAGUGUGAUCCGUGGAAUCAUGGCGAGGAGAGGAGGAUGAUCUAGGCACUCAUUGGUGUUUUAGGUUAUUGUUGGAUUUAUUAGGGUGUUAGAAUGGAAUUUAGAAACAUGUUAGGAUGAUCAUGUUUUGGAAUAAUGUUUGGUUGAACUUGUUGGUUUAAUGGAAUUGUUU
rnacentral:lncRNA from 1 species